UGGGGAAUAUUGCGCAAUGGGGGGAACCCUGACGCAGCCAUGCCGCGUGAAUGAAGAAGGCCUUCGGGUUGUAAAGUUCUUUCGGUAAUGAGGAAGGGAUGUUGUUAAAUAGAUAGCAUCAUUGACGUUAAUUACAGAAGAAGCACCGGCUAACUCCGUGCCAGCAGCCGCGGUAAUACGGAGGGUGCGAGCGUUAAUCGGAAUAACUGGGCGUAAAGGGCACGCAGGCGGACUUUUAAGUGAGAUGUGAAAUCCCCGAGCUUAACUUGGGAACUGCAUUUCAGGCUGGGAGUCUAGAGUACUUUAGGGAGGGGUAGAAUUCCACGUGUAGCGGUGAAAUGCGUAGAGAUGUGGAGGAAUACCGAAGGCGAAGGCAGCCCCUUGGGAAUGUACUGACGCUCAUGUGCGAAAGCGUGGGGAGCAAACAGGAUUAGAUACCCUGGUAGUCCACGCUGUAAACGCUGUCGAUUUGGGGAUUGGGCUAUAUGCUUGGUGCCCGAAGCUAACGUGAUAAAUCGACCGCCUGGGGAGUACGGCCGCAAGGUUA
rnacentral:rRNA from 1 species